rnacentral:rRNA from 1 species
AUGGCGCAUGGUGAAGGGUCUGUUCCUUCCAAUGAACUAUCAAUUUGUCAGUUAGCUGAGCGGCAUCUAUAUGAGCCUAAUACUAGUGAAGAGGUCAACCCAGUGAUCAGACAGCAGGUGCUCGCACAUGCGGAUUUGACGCGCCAUCCUCGUGGUUGGAAUGUGGGGUCUACCCUUAGUGACUAUUCUUUUCAUCCACUAGCACCUUAUCCUAAACCUGAUCAUGAAGCCUACACCCUAGGGACAAGGAUGGUAGCAAAAGGUCUAGGUUGGGAUGGUCACACAGCCGAGUAUGUUCCGCAACCCAAAGGCUAUGUUGAGUGGGGCAUCUCUAUAUUGAAUAACCACUCGUUUUGUUUGAAAGGAGAAGCGGAGAACACCGAUUACAUAUAUGGGGCCAUUUAUUGCUCCCUCGGUGAAUAUGAAGUUUCAGAUUCGUUACUGAGGUCACUACUGGAACGAUGGGAUCUAGAAACAAAUACUUUUCUUUUUUCAUCUGGUGAACGCACCGUGACUCUGCUUGACAUGCUUCUAAUGUCGGGUCUUCCUUCAGUUGGAGAUCCAUACGAGGAAUAUGUUCCCUCUAUAGAUGACCUAGAACCUUCAAAGCUUAUGUUCCCAAAUUUCUUAUCCGGCCUUUUAGAAGAAUUCUAUCAGCUCAGCCGCGAAAAUGGAAGUGUGACUUUUCAAGUCUGGAUCAGUAUGCACCCCAUUGCUCCCUCUUAUGAGAUAAGAAUUUGGCCAGUGCAUUAUAUCGCGGGGUGGAUGGGUCUUUAUCUAAGAAAACCAUUUAAGGACAAAGUGAAAGGGAAACAUCUUCCAGAUGUUAAGCAAUUGCUGAUUCAACCAACCAUGUUGCAAAGGUCCUUCACCAUUUCUUCACAUCGGGGUAUGCUUCCAUGGAGGCGUGCUACUGAUGUUGAUGAUCUUUGCAUAGCGGAGCCAUAUCAUCCUGAUCGAGUUGCACGACAACUUACUUUGAGACAACAAGUGCCCUAUGCUCCGUUGAUCAGCGUGUACACAAAGGAGGAUACUGGCAUUGCAUAUGCGUAUUGGUCGCAUUUGUUACGCUCGGACCAAGGAGAGUUCCAGUACCUUCUUAAUGAUGCGCAUGAGGCAUUUUCUUCUGUGGCCUGGAACAAGUGGUGGGAAGUCUCUGCCGGGGGUAAGGAGGAACAUAUUGCAGCCAUCAAAUUGAAUGGAAAGAGAAUUAUGGACCACUGGCGUCCCAUUUUGUGUGGCUUUCUCUCAAAUGAUGAACCUUUAAUUAACUCUAAAAAGAAGAAGCGAAAGGUUAAGGAUGCUGUCGCUACUCAACCCAUGAAAUCUAAAGAGCAAAGUGGCGUACCAAAGUCUGUUGUUGCAGUUGGUUCUUCCUCUGCUCAUCCAUUGCUAGUGGGUAGUGAUGAUCUUCCGGAAACUGCCCCGGCCACCGGCGGACAGAAGCAUUUUGGCCAUGUUCUCACUGGAGAAAAGGACCAUGGCCUUGGUGACCUCUUCAAUUUAUCCGUCGAGGAUUAUACCAUUGGCGAGUGUGGCAUAAGUCGUCCAUUUUCCAGCCCGGGUUGCGACCAAGAAAUUCGCCACUCACAAGACCCUGAGGUGAUGGUUGUAUCAGGGAAAGGCGCACAGAUGGACUGCAGUUUCAUCAAGGACACGUUUAUGGAUGCUACAGAUUUUGUAGUGAAACGAGCCCUCGAAGGACUGAACGACUCUACCCUUGGUGAUCCCGAGGGACGCACCAUGCUUGAGAGCGUUUCUCAAAUGCUGCCCACGCAAUUGGAGGGUGGCCAGACUGAAUUCACGAAGGAAUCCGAGCGAGAUGAACAUGUUGUUGCUGAAGUAGAACUUAAGAUUAAGUCUGGCCAUGAGGUUUCCAAGGCCACAAUUGAGGACUUAUCUGACGUAGAAAAGAAGUGCACUGAAAUGGAGGCACGGGAAGCAGAGCUGAAGGCUCAUCUUGAAGAGGUUACUGCUACUUUGCACAGGCUUAAAUUGGAAAUGGAACAGCGCCGACAAGCACAUGAUGACCAUCAAUCUGAACAGAAGAAGUUGGUGAAGAGUCUACAGGAUACCAAUGCUGGCAAACGUACAAGGCUUGCUGAAUUUAAACAAAAGACAACAGAUUUAAAGACUCAAGCAAGUCAGUUGUUGAACAACCUGCAGAACUAG